UACAAAUGUGGGAUUUUUGUUGUAAUAAACGCUGUAGUGUGUCUCCCUUUUAUUACGAAAUCAAAUCAGAGAUAAAAUUCAUAAAAACCCUAAGUUUAGAAACAUCAUCUGUUGAAUUUUGGGAUUUUUUUCAUCUAUCAGUCAAUGGAUGGAAUUUGUGAGGAAGCUCUUCAUUUUAAUUCUCUAACUGAAGAUUUGUUGAUUGAAAUUCUAUUAUGGCUACCUGUAAUUUCCCUUUUACGAUUCAAGGCUGUCUGCAAGUUAUGGCGAUCGAUUAUUCAAAGCUCAGAUUUCAUCCAUUGACACGCCACUUUCGAAAGCUCCACAAGUAAGUUGGUUAAUUUCAUCUUUCAAUAUCGUCCUAAACAUAUUAAUAGUUGGGAUUACAAACCGUAUUUUUUCGUGUUAUCUUCGAAUCGUGGUAGUGGUGACAGCCAAGAAGAUUAUGAGCAAUGGAGUUACAAAAAUUUGGGUAUCUCACCGCAUUUAAGUGACGAGGAUGAGUAUGAAAUGUAUGCUAGUUACCCUCCUCAAGCAAAUAUUGUGGGUUCUUGUCAUGGCAUCAUUUGUAUACAUGAUCCUCAUCUUAGGGAUAUUAUCCUUUGGAACCCUGCAACUAAGAAAUUUAGAUGUCUACCUAAAUCAUUACCCCUCCUAGAUGAAUUUGGAGUACUAAAGUCAGAGUUUGUUUUGUUUGGCUUCGACUGCGAAACGCAUAAUUACAAGGUCUUACAAAUCACUUUUUUUGAAAUCAACAAUGAAUUUGACAUCACACCACCAAACAGGAUUCAGAUUAAUAUAUAGCUUACGGUCAGAUUCUUGGAGAUGGUGUAUGGAUGCCAAUUUGUAUGGUCACUCUUAUAAAGCCAAUACUCAAAAUCAAGGUCGAUAUCAUAAUGGUAGUUAUUAUUUCGUAGGAAAUAAUUUUAUCAGAAAACAAAGGACUAGGAUUACUGAUUCUGUCCCAUAUUGGUAUGGUGAUCCAGAGGCAGUGCUUCUCUCCUUCAAUUUCAGCAGAGAAAGUUUCAGGAUGAUACCUGGUCCAUGCGAAAACUUUGUUUUAGAUGUCAUAGGAGGUGACCAGGGAAAGAUUGUGUGCAUUAAAGUUGAACAUUCUAGUGAUGUAUGUGAAAUGUGUGCUUUGAAUGAUUGUGAUUACAGUAAUGGUGCUACAAAUGCGGAUAAUAACGAGUACUCAUGGAGCAAACUACUUACGUUCACUAUAAAUCAUCCUUACAGUGGCUAUGGUACUAAGGCCCUUACGAAAAAUGGAGUGUUUGGUUUUCUAUCAUUCUAUGUGAUAUUGGAGGUGGUCUGCUGUUUAUCAACUUUCUUACAGAGGAAAUAAAGGAUAUUGAAAUUAUUGACGCCCCUUUGGAAGGUCUGGGUGAUGUGUUUAGAGCCGAUGUUUACAAGGAGAGCUUAGUCUCAAUCGAUAGUGCAGUGCCCAGCAUCAGCAGAAGCAGUUACUAGAAAUGAAAUCGGUUUCGACACCAUUCACAACUUUGGCAUGCAUACAUGGUUGGGUUUGUCAUCCUGCUCCAGAGUAGCUGCUUAAUAUUUAUUAUUUUACUAUUUAUCCAAGUGAAUGAUUUCCAUAUAAUGUCCUACAACAUAUAUUUUCAAGUAUUAUGGAAUUCUUGGGGCUUUUAACAUACUUGGUACCUCUAAACUACAGUUUGUUGAUUCGUCUUAUUUGAUUGCGGUCAUUUAUUUGUACAGUGAGAUCCUGGUGUUUGUCUUUUUAACCUGCGUAUUUCCAAAUUAGAUAUGAUUUUCAAUGCAAUUGUAAAUCUUUACUGUUUCCGGAAUGUUGCCUUGGUAAUUUCACCUAGGAAUACCGAGCUUCCGUUGAAACCUGGUUGCAGGGAUGGUUGGAAAGUUUCAGAGGAGAAGAUCGAAAGCUAGCUUCAAGACUGCCUGUUGAAAAAGAUUUCUUUUGGAUCUUCUUCUUUGACAUCAAAAAGGUUGCUCGAGGUAAGUAGUCCCUAUUGUAGACAGAGUGGAACUUACCUUUUUUCUUACAGGAAGGAGUUGGUCCUGUUCCUCCACCUUCUUCUCUCAUGAACGCUGGGGUCCUGUGGAUAUCUACCAUGGGGAAGGAAAGUCUGUCGUACAAAGUAUGUUUCUCGAACAAGGUGAAGGUGGAGAAAUACAAACUUCUGAGAAGCCAACUUAUUUUGUUCAGGAAUACCUCUUACAGCAGGUUGUGUCGGUACUUCCAUUUACGAGCCAGGAGGGAAAGAAGUCGUGUCUAUGCGUGUCCUUGUGAAAUAUUGAGAAGAAGCCUUUGAAGGUCAAAAUAUGAUGUCAGCAGUAUGACUGGUGCAUCUAAUCAAGAUUAAUGUAGAUAUAAAGAGAGAAGACGAAAUCUUGGAAAUAUAAGGUUUGUUUUGUGAGCUUUGGAAGCAGAAAAGAGUAUUUUUGAGUAUUGUGUGUUUCAUGCUUAAGCAUUAGGUGGAACUGUAUGUUUAUUACAAAAUACAAUUGGAAACACGGCUAACGUACAUGAUCCCUGGUGUUCUGGAUCUCCAGGAAAACAAUUGGGCCCAUCCAGGACAUAAGGUGAAAGAUAAGACAACUCCGUUGUUCGGCGGCUGAGGUUCUUGCACGCCUCUGUAGGUGCAAGUACUACCACAAAUACGAGAAUCCUGUUGCAGAAUGAUACGGCUCGAUGAGUUGACAAAGUUUCCACCAUUUCUGAUACGAUGUUAAUUCGGAAAAUAGAUGUUGCUGGAUUUAAUAAUGGCGGCUUGGAGUUCCUUUUUUCAUUAGCGGCAACAGGGGAUUUGUUCCAGAGCUACCUAUCUACAUGUACAUCUCGGGCCUCCUCCUCCUCCUGGUCUCAUGAAGGCUGGGGUUCCGUGGAUGUCCACGAGGAAGGGAAAUCUGCCAUAUAAAGAACGUUUUGAGAAAGUUAGAAUUAUAUCGAACAAGCUGGGUGCGGAGAAAUUCUGUAUUCUGAGAACCAAGCUUAUUGAUUCGGUGAUCACACCUCGUCCAUCUUACAAGGCAUUAUGUCUCUGAUGUUCAUCAAAGCUGUGACGGAGCGAGCAGUUUGUCCUUUGUAUGCUUUUGGAUAAUUGACAGGCAACUAAUAAAUCAACAGGCGGGAAAGACCAGGCAGCAGGUUAUGACUGGUGCUUCUAACCAAGAUUUGGAAGUACGGCAUACAAAGACAGAAGGAGAAAUCUUGGAGAUAUAAGAUUCAUUUUUGAGCUCUCAAAGCAGAGAAGAGGUGUUCUGACGGUUUUUUGUUUCAUUCUUAAGCUGUACACAGUUGGUAAGCAGUUGGAUGAGUUCUCCAGCAGUUCAUGUAUUAUGAAUGAUGUUAACUUGGAUGGUCUGACAGACAUGCUGGCAACACAUCCCCAAAUGGAAACACGCGAUACACUGGAUCUUCGAGCUAAGAAUUGGGUCAAGACAGGGCCAUCAAUGAAUUAAUUCGUCCACAACAAUAUGAUGGAGAUUGGGGAAAAUGAAAAUAAUCCCAUUUGCAGAGGUUGCUUGUCUUUAAUGGCAACAAGUGAUCAAUCUUAGAUGCUAACUGUGGCUGUCAACAAACUUUUUUUUUGUUUACUGUUUUUUCAGUUACGAUGAAGAGUUUUCUUCUUGGAUA